rnacentral:lncRNA from 1 species
UCUUUUUUUUUUCUAGUUCUCGGCGGACACAACAUCUUUCUUUGUAUGUGGUGCUGAGGAUCGAACCUGGGCCGCACAGCAUGCCAGUCGAGCACGCUACCGCUUGAGCCACAUCCCCCAGCCCGAAAUAGUUGUUUUUAAAAUGACUUUCAGGCUGAGUGUGGUGGAGCACCCUGUGAUCCCAGCAACUCAGGAGGCUGAGGCUGGAGGAUGGUGAGUUUGAGGCCAGCCUGGGAAACUUAGGGAGACUCGGCCUUGAAAUACAAAGGACUGAGAGUGUGGCUUUGGGGUCGAGCACUGCCCAGCAAGCACUGCCCAGUGCGUGGCCCUGGGUUCUUCCCCAGGACUGGAAAUACCCGCUUUGAACAGUGCCAGGCUGGUGGAGCUCCUCAGAUGGGCGGAGGUGGGCGCCCUGUGAUGCCUCUCUUUGGCAGGGAAGCUGCAGGGGAACCAGAGAAGGUGGACACAGGCCAGGCCUUGGGCCAGCUGCUCAGCAUCACACUCUUUUGUGGCCUGCUGGUGACAGUGACGUGGGACUUGCUUCCAGUGCUCAAUGCUUCGCCCACAGUGACUGAUGUCAGCCCAUGGAGGCCAAGGAGGGAAUAAUCACUGAGCUUGGCAGGUCUGGGACCUGAACCGGCAGCUGGCCUCUCACUGCCGAGCAGCAACAAGAAUACUGCAUUGGGCUUCCUCAUUACUGGGGCAAAUAACCUGGGCACCGUCCUCGAGGAGCAGCAGGAUGGGAUGCUGUGCCCACAAGGAAAGGUUGGGUGGGCACCAGGCUCUGAGAUUCCCCUGGACACGCCUCACGCCCGCACAGGGCCCAGCUCUGCAGGACAGCGCGGGUCCCCACGGUCUUAUACGGGUUCCCAACCAGCUUUGGCUGGGCCACCAUGUUAUAUGAACUUCUUUUCUUUUUGCCAAGGAAUCUUGGGACAGUCAUCUCAGGUUAGGAGGGACGUACUGGUCUUUGGGCCCCAUGUUGGGCUUCGCUGGGCGGGGAAAGGAGGGUUCUUUCUCCAGACGAGGGGGCUCAUCAGCCCACUUCAUUGAGGGCCAGCAACAGAACCUGACCCAGGAUAACUUAGUGUUACCGCUGUUGACCGGUGACGAGUCCUUGCUUCCCCAAUGUUGAAGAAUAACACCAGAGAAGCACGCGAGGCAAGGUCAGAGUAGAAAUUAGAAGUUUAUUAAAGGACAGCAGAAAAGACUUCUCCCGGAGGAAGAAGGGGACCCAAGAGGUGGAAUCCGUGGAAGUGCCAUUGUUUCACCUUUUUAUAGUUUUGGUGAUGGAAUGUAGGGGGGAAGGGUUGGGACACAGGUGGGCCAAACAAGUAAUCUGGGCAGGAAGGACUUCAUUAACACUUCUUUGGGAUGGGCUAUCUCCAAAUCUGUUAGGGCUCUUCAUUAACAUUCCUUUGGGAUGGACUUUGGGCCUUGGGACUUCAUUAUUAUUCCAUGAGUUGUCCUGCGUUUCCCAGAAUCAUUCUCAACAUGGCCUCCAUUUUAGAUUUCACUGAUAUUAGAGCCGAUUUACCUAACUACACUGACUACCUAACUUUAAAUCUGGCUUCAUUAGGACAAGGAAAGUGGCCAUGGCCACUGCUGCCACUGGGUGGAGGGACCCAAGCUUCCACAGGAACCCGCAGCUUCCAUGGGUGGAGAGCUGACUAGCUCCCUGGUCAUGCUAGGUGUGACUGUUGGGAUGAGGGAACUUCUGUCACCCCUGGUGUUCCCCGCUCCAAAGCCAAACUCCCAGGAAAACAAGUCUAACUUG